AAAUGAAUGUGUGGAUGCACAGUCAGUGUGUGGUCAAAACUCAGAUUGUAUUAACACCAUUGGGAGUCACAUUUGUUCAUGCUGGAGUGGAUUUGCUCCCUUGUAUAAAGACAUUCCUGUGAGCGUCAACAACUCAUGUGUCCGGACACAACCUUUAACUGAAUAUCUGAUUGAAAUUGAGAUAAAUACCCUGAAUCCUGCCAUCAUUGAUCAGCUGAGGAGCCUUCUGAUGUCUUUCAAUUUACCCUACACACUCACUGACAACACAAACAUUACAGAAAUCAACAUAACUACUGUCUGUUCUUUGAAUGAAAUGGGAUAUCAGUGUAAAUGUGAGGGUCUGUUUGUUUGGCCAAUUGACACGUGUCAUUCAUAUGAGACCUGUGAUAACAUCACUGAUGGUGUGUGUACAUGUAUCAAUGCUCUUCCAAACAAUGGACAGUUCUGCCAGUUAAAG